rnacentral:rRNA from 1 species
UACGGAGGAUCCGAGCGUUAUCCGGAUUUAUUGGGUUUAAAGGGUGCGUAGGCGGCCUGUUAAGUCAGGGGUGAAAGACGGUGGCUCAACCAUCGCAGUGCCCUUGAUACUGAUGGGCUUGAUUACAGUUGAGGUAGGCGGAAUGUGACAAGUAGCGGUGAAAUGCAUAGAUAUGUCACAGAACACCAAUUGCGAAGGCAGCUUACUAAAGUGUAAAUGACGCUGAGGCACGAAAGCGUGGGGAUCAAACAGG